GACGAACGCUGGCGGCGUGCUUAACACAUGCAAGUCGAACGGAAAGGCCCUGCUUUUGUGGGGUGCUCGAGUGGCGAACGGGUGAGUAACACGUGAGUAACCUGCCCUUGACUGUGGGAUAACUUCAGGAAACUGGGGCUAAUACCGGAUAGGAUCUCCUGCUGCAUGGUGGGGGUUGGAAAGUUUCGGCGGUUGGGCAUGGACUCGCGGCUUAUCAGCUUGUUGGUGGGGUAGUGGCUUACCAAGGCUUUGACGGGUAGCCGGCCUGAGAGGGUGACCGGCCACAUUGGGACUGAGAUACGGCCCAGACUCCUACGGGAGGCAGCAGUGGGGAAUAUUGCACAAUGGGCGGAAGCCUGAUGCAGCAACGCCGCGUGCGGGAUGACGGCCUUCGGGUUGUAAACCGCUUUCGCCUGUGACGAAGCGUGAGUGACGGUAAUGGGUAAAGAAGCACCGGCUAACUACGUG
rnacentral:rRNA from 1 species